rnacentral:rRNA from 1 species
ACUUUAUUUAAUAAAUUUUGGAUUAGUAUUAAUAGUUGAAAUUUAACGGAUUUGGCGGCAAGAUAGCUUUUUAGAGGAACCUGCCCUGUAAACGAUGAACCGCGAAAGCCUUACUUUUUCUAGAGAUCAGUUUGUAUACCGCUGUUGUCAGUUAAAUCUUAGAAGAUAUUUUCUUAUUGAAAAAAUCAAGGACUUCAAGUAAAGGUGCAGCUUAUGAAAAAGAUAGAGGUGGGUUACAAUAAAAUGAAUUAUACAAAAUAAAUCUGUAAGAGGUUUAAGAAAGGUGGAUUUAACUGUAAGAUUAAA